GGCCUUGUGGUCUAGUCGUAUGAUUCCUUCUUAGGGUGGUGUUCCUAGCUAAUGUGGCAUUACGUGAUUGGAGGAGGUCCCGGGUUCAAUUCCCGGCAAGGCCC